UAUCGAGGAGGAUAAAAAUGACAUGUCAAGCUCAACAAUAUGAAAAAUUAUGAUUUUUUUCUAUUUCUUCACUUUCUGAGAUGU